rnacentral:rRNA from 1 species
CCUACGGGUGGCAGCAGUGAGGAAUAUUGGUCAAUGGGCGCGAGCCUGAACCAGCCAAGUCGCGUGAAGGAUGACUGCCCUCCGGGUUGUAAACUUCUUUUAUAAAGGAAUAAAGUGAGGCACGUGUGCCUUUUUGUAUGUACUUUAUGAAUAAGGCUCGGCUGACUCCGUGCCAGCAGCCGCGGUAAUACGGAGGAUCCGAGCGUUAUCCGGAUUUAUUGGGUUUAAAGGGAGCGUAGAUGGGUUGUUAAGUCAGUUGUGAAAGUUUGCGGCUCAACCGUAAAAGUGCAAUUGAUACUGGCAGGCUUGAGUACAGGUGAGGUAGGCGGAAUUCGUGGUGUAGCGGUGAAAUGCGUAGAUAUCACGAAGAACUCCGAUUGCGAAGGCAGCUUACUAAACUGCCACUGACAUUGAUGCUCGAAAGUGUGGGUAUCAAACAGGAUUAGAUACCCUUGUAGUC